CAGGGAAGACGCACCCGGGAGGGAGUCGAGUGGGUCUUUUUUCUGGGUUAAGACAGGGCAUAGGUUCACAGCCAUAUAAGGUGUCAGUUUACUUAUGGUGAUGUGUCCUCGGCAUACGUCCUUCUGACGGGAGAGUCAUGGGUAAAGGAAGAAGGCGGCCUGGAAGAUGACAGCCCAGCAGCCACUUUUAUUGUUCCUCCUGCAUUCCUGGAGCCGCCGACCCAACAAUAACAGGAACGGAGCAAGAGCAGCUGUGGUAGGGUCUCAGUUUACUGGCCAACUGUCGGCAACAAGAAGAAGACUGUGAGAAGAUUCUUCAUAAGCUUACGACAGGUGUGAUAUACAGUUUUUUAAGAAAACAGGAAAAAUCGAGGCUGGAUUCCCCCAUCAUCUGCACAUCACAUUUAUACAUGACAAGCUGCUUAAACUGUAGAGGGCUCUCGGUAGCCCAUGCUCUGGCUUUAAUCCCUCCCUGGAUCCCUCAGACGUUUCUAAGAGCUCAGUCCCCGCUACCUUAAGAAAGCCCUGGUUGGAACUCGAUGCCUAUAAUUCUUAAUUACAAUUGCAUUGCUGGCUUUAUGUGCAUCUCUGCUCAUUUAAACUCAAUGCUGACUGACAAAUUGUGCUCGUCUGCCUAUUCGACAGUAAUUUAGCCAGGCAGCCUGCAGCUUGCCCCAGAUUGAUGAGCAGCCGUUUGAUCUGUUUGGGGAUGGAUUGUUUUCUUGGUGUGGGAUGCUUUGUGCUGCUGCCAAACGAUGGAUGGUUUCGUCUCCUCCGGUGACAUUGUGGACACUCUGGAUGGCCUCUCCUGUAACUCCAAAUGCACAUUUUAAAAACAUCGAUCACUCUCCAUCGCAGACAUAGCAUCCCAGAGAAGAGCAGGAUGAAAUGGCUCAUCAGACCCACGUCAAGCUCACAUCGCUGUUUUCCAAGCCAGCGAGAGUUCAAGUUGGUACUCAACUUGCUCCCACUGCAGACCAGAGCUGAUGCCGUCGUCGUUAGACACAGUGAUUUCUCUUGGAAAAGCUUUGUGCUGGUCAGAGUUACCUUUCAGGAGAAUCCCCCUACCACCACGUAAGGAUUCUGAGCCACGUGCUCUGCCCUGGCCACGUCCCGUGGCCUUCAGCCUUUUAGGCGAGGCAAGCUUCUGAGUUAACUAUCUGAAUCUUUUCAGGCUGUGAGAAGAUGUCUCUCCCCGAUGAUGCGUGCUUCAUUAUUUCUCCAAUUCAGGUUUUUCAUGGUCCCUGUAGCCUGAAUGCAGAGUGAAGGAAAAGUGUGUCCCAAAGGUAUAGGCAACUGCUUUAUUGAGAUGAUUGACAUGCCGUGCCAUUCACCCAUUUUAAGUGGAGAAUUGAAUGGGGCUUGGUCUAUUACAGUAUGAAUUCUUUUAAGUUGUGGUAAAAUACCUAUCACGUAAAAUGUGUCCUUUUAACCAUUUUUGAGUGUACAGUUCAGUGCUAUUAAUUACAUUUACGGUGUUACAAGCAACCAUCACCAGGAUUUCCAAAGCUUUUUAUCACUCCGCAGAAAAUCUGCGACCACAAACAAUGACACCCAUCCGCCUGCCCCCAGAGCCCAGUAACUUCUAUUCCAUUUUCUGUCUCUAUGAAUUUGACGACGUACUGAAAACACACAAUAUUGACCUUCGUGUGACUGGUUUAUUUCACUUAGCAUAAUGUGUUCGUAUCACGAUUUCCCUCUCUUCCACAGCUGAGUAACACUCAUGAUACCCCACUGUGUGUAUAGAUCAUAUCUUACUUAUCCGUUCACCUGUUGAUAGACAUUUGAAUUGUUUCCACUUUUGUCUGUUGUA